GUAUAUUGUGAAGACCUGUGUAUCCAUGCAUGUUUGUAUUUGAGUCUGUGUGAAUGCACUUGUGCCUGUCUGGAUGACUACAUGUGCUUUUUUUGUAUAUGGUUUCAGUGUGAAUGCAUAUGUGUAUUGAGCGUUAGUGUGUGUCUGCAUGUGCAGGGGUAUGGAAUUUUUUUUAAAAAAAAUCUACUUGUCCAAGGGAGGUGACAGGUGGAAGAGUGUAGGAG